AGUGAACGCUGGCGGCAGGCCUAACACAUGCAAGUCGAGCGGCAGCGCAGCAGUAGCAAUACUGUGGGCGGCGAGCGGCGGACGGGUGAGGAAUACAUCGGAAUCUACCUUCUUGUGGGGGAUAACGUAGGGAAACUUACGCUAAUACCGCAUGAGACCUGAGGGUGAAAGCAGGGGACCGCAAGGCCUUGCGCGAGAAGAUGAGCCGAUGUCCGAUUAGCUAGUUGGUGGGGUAAAGGCCCACCAAGGCGACGAUCGGUAGCUGGUCUGAGAGGAUGAUCAGCCACACUGGAACUGAGACACGGUCCAGACUCCUACGGGAGGCAGCAGUGGGGAAUAUUGGACAAUGGGCGCAAGCCUGAUCCAGCCAUGCCGCGUGUGUGAAGAAGGCCUUCGGGUUGUAAAGCACUUUUGUUCGGGAAGAAAUCUUCCGUCCUAAUACGGCGGGAGGAUGACGGUACCGAAAGAAUAAGCACCGGCUAACUUCGUGCCAGCCGCCGCAGUAACAC
rnacentral:rRNA from 1 species